GUGAAAAAUGGGCGCCAUUCUCUCAUCUAUCUCUCAUCCUUCCUUCCUACGCUCACUUUUUUGAAACCGCCUCUUCAAUUUGGAAACCUAAUAAAUUCUCUCAAUCAAUUAGUUGAAAUCAUUCUCCAAUUUGCCAAAUUGAUUUCUCUUCACAUUCACACAGCUUCUCAAAACAUCACACAUUCAAUUUUACAAACCCUAAAUCUCAUCUACGGCUUCAUCUCUAGCAGCGAUUGUUCCAGGCCCUAGAAAUCCCUAAAUCUCAAGCAUUCAAACUCUUAUCUAGAUAUAGAGUUGUCGAAUCGGUUUUGAUUUUGUCGCUCAAUCGAACAAGGUUCAAUCGAAUAUUAUGAUUAUGAAGACGAAAACAAAGAAGAUUAUGAAGGGGAAGGAGUCAAGAAGUUGAUUUCGUCAGAGAAAAUGUAACAAGAAAAUGGAGAAGCUUUUAUUGAAUGCAGACCGGUUGUCGAAAAAGUCGAUGAUUGAUGCGCUUAAACCAUAGCAACUUUUUGCAUUUGAUUUCUUCAAUAUGUUAUAUAACUCCUGACUUUUUUAGACUAACAACUUUAGCUGAGUUUAGACUAACUUAAAUUAUGAAAAACUAUGAUGCAGAAUAUUGAUCCUGCUAAAAGACCGGGUGCAGGACCUGGUGGUUAUG